CCUACGGGGUGCUGCAGUGGGGAAUAUUGCACAAUGGGGGAAACUCUGAUGCAGCGACGCCGCGUGAGGGAAGACGGUCUUCGGAUUGUAAACCUCUUUUUUUGGGGAAGAAAAUGACGGUACCCAAAGCGGAAGCUCCGGCUAACUACGUGCAAGCAGCCGCGUGAUAACGUAGGGAGCGCGCGUUGUCCGGAAUUACUGGGUGUAAAGGGAGCGUAGGCGCGCGAGAACUUUGAAUUUUAAAUCUACGGGCUUAACUGAUAGCUGCGUUCAAAACUUCUUGUCUUGAGUGAAGUAGAGGCAGGCGGAAUUCCUAGUGUAGCGGUGAAAUGCGUAGAUAUUAGGAGGAACACCAGUGGCGAAGGCGGCCUGCUGGGCUUCAACUGACGCUGAGGCUCGAAAGCGUGGGGAGCAAACAGGAUUAGAUACCCUAGUAGUC
rnacentral:rRNA from 1 species